ACACGACUACAUUAGAUACCCCGGUAGUCCUAGCCGUAAACGAUACUCGCUAGGUGUCGGCCACGGUGCGACCGUUGUCGGUGCCGUAGGGAAGCCGUGAAGCGAGCCACCUGGGAAGUACGGCCGCAAGGCUGAAACUUAAAGGAAUUGGCGGGGGAGCACAACAACGGGUGGAGCUUGCGGUUUAAUUGGAUUCAACGCCGGAAAUCUUACCGGGACUGACAGCAACAUGAAGGCCAAGCUGAAGACUUUGCCGGAUUAGCUG
rnacentral:rRNA from 1 species